GUCUGCAGCCGCAGAACGCACGAAGUAAUUCAGUGGUGUCACAUGCUUAUUCUCAACGUUCCAAGAUGAAGCUGAAGUCUGUGUUCGGUUUGUUAGUAAUUUUACUAACGCUUAUAUCUUCGGCGUCAACACAGCGUUUUGGGUUAAAUAGUUUCAGUACAGGUGCUGCCAUUAUGCUUAGGAACAGAUGCAGGAACGGCUACAUUCGUGUUGGUAACGGAUGUCGGAGAAGAUAUAGAGGCUGAACGGCUCACCAGCUGCACAACACGUUAACGUUACUUGGCAUAACCUCUUUAGCGCAAGAAAAUCGUUUCUUGACAUGUUUUGUGAACAGUCAAAAAUAUGAAGAAAUAACUUAAUUUUUAAUCAAUGGAAUAAAACGGAGUGUUUCAUUUUUAA